GUUUCCUACGGGACGCAGCAGUGAGGAAUAUUGGUCAAUGGGCGGGAGCCUGAACCAGCCAAGCCGCGUGAGGGAAGAAGGUACAGCGUAUCGUAAACCUCUUUUGUCAGGGAACAAAGGCGGGGACUAGUCCCCGGAUGAGGGUACCUGAAGAAAAAGCAUCGGCUAACUCCGUGCCAGCAGCCGCGGUAAUACGGAGGAUGCGAGCGUUAUCCGGAUUUAUUGGGGUUAAAGGGGGCGCAGGCGGCCUGUUAAGUCAGCGGUAAAAGCCCGGGGCUCAACCCCGGCGAGCCGUUGAAAAUGGG
rnacentral:rRNA from 1 species